UGAAGGUUCUGGUCUCUUUGGAACCCUUUGUUGCAGAUAUCACACACGAAUCUAUUCGUCGCCAUGAGCGUUUUAGGAGACAACGCUAUCACUUCUGCAUCUGGGUCUGAUUCAAAAAAUCAAAACCCACCGAGAAAAAAACAAAAUGAUGAAGUAGAAAA